rnacentral:rRNA from 1 species
AUUGAACGCUGGCGGCAGGCUUAACACAUGCCAGUCGAACGAGUGGCGGACGGGUGAGUAAUGCUUGGGAAUCUCGCUUAUGGAGGGGGAUAACUAUGGGAACCUGUAGCUAAUACCGCGUACCAUAGGAUGAGCCCAAGUGGGAUUAGGUAGUUGGUGAGGUAAAGGCUCACCAAGCCGACGAUCUCUAGCUGGUCUGAGAGGAUGACCAGCCAAACUGGGACUGAGGCACGGUCCAGACUCCUACGGGAGGCAGCGUUGGUGAAGAUUGCGCAGUGGGGGCAACCCGGACGCAGCCAUGCCGCGGGAAUGAAGAAGGCCGUAGGGUUGUAAGGUACUUUCAGCGGGGAGGGGUUACCCGGAGAAGAAGCGCCGGCUAACUCCGUGCCAGCAGCCGCGGUAAUUC